CGUGUAGGCGGGUGUGCAAGUCGGAUGUGAAAUUCCCAGGCUUAACCUGGGCGGGUCAUCCGAAACUGCAGAUCUUGAGUACUGGAGAGGAUAGUGGAAUUCCUAGUGUAGCGGUAAAAUGCGUAGAUAUUAGGAGGAACACCAGUGGCGAAGGCGGCUAUCUGGACAGUAACUGACGCUGAGGCGCGAAAGCGUGGGGAGCAAACA
rnacentral:rRNA from 1 species